rnacentral:rRNA from 1 species
CGGGACGGGUGAGUAAUGUCUGGGAAACUGCCUGAUGGAGGGGGAUAACUACUGGAAACGGUAGCUAAUACCGCAUAACGUCGCAAGACCAAAGAGGGGGACCGUUCGGGCCUCUUGCCAUCGGAUGUGCCCAGAUGGGAUUAGCUAGUAGGUGGGGUAACGGCUCACCUAGGCGACGAUCCCUAGCUGGUCUGAGAGGAUGGCCAGCCACACUGGAACUGAGACACGGUCCAG